GUGGGGAAUAUUGCACAAUGGGCGAAAGCCUGAUGCAGCAACGCCGCGUGAACGAUGAAGGUCUUCGGAUCGUAAAGUUCUGUUGCAGGGGAAGAUAAUGACGGUACCCUGUGAGGAAGCCCCGGCUAACUACGUGCCAGCAGCCGCGGUAAUACGUAGGGGGCUAGCGUUAUCCGGAUUUACUGGGCGUAAAGGGUGCGUAGGUGGUCCUUCAAGUCGGUGGUUAAAGGCUACGGCUCAACCGUAGUAAGCCGCCGAAACUGGAGGACUUGAGUGCAGGAGAGGAAAGUGGAAUUCCCAGUGUAGCGGUGAAAUGCGUAGAUAUUGGGAGGAACACCAGUAGCGAAGGCGGCUUUCUGGACUGCAACUGACACUGAGGCACGAAAGCGUGGGUAGCAAACAGGAUUAGAAACCCUAGUAGUCC
rnacentral:rRNA from 1 species